rnacentral:rRNA from 1 species
AUUUCUAAAGAGUUUGAUCCUGGCUCAGGACGAACGCUGGCGGCGCGCCUAACACAUGCAAGUCGAACGGAGAAAUGCUGAGCUUGCUUUGCAUUUUUUAGUGGCGGACGGGUGAGUAACACGUGAGCAACCUGCCUUUGUGAGGGGAAUAACGUCUGGAAACGGACGCUAAUACCGCAUAACGUCAAGGAACCGCAUGGUUUUUUGACCAAAGAUUUUAUCGCACAAAGAUGGGCUCGCGGCUGAUUAGCUAGUUGGCGGGGUAACGGCCCACCAAGGCGACGAUCAGUAGCCGGACUGAGAGGUUGAUCGGCCACAUUGGGACUGAGACACGGCCCAGACUCCUACGGGAGGCAGCAGUGGGGGAUAUUGCACAAUGGGGGAAACCCUGAUGCAGCGACGCCGCGUGAGGGAAGACGGUUUUCGGAUUGUAAACCUCUGUCUUCAGGGACGAAAUCAAUGACGGUACCUGAGGAGGAAGCCACGGCUAACUACGUGCCAGCAGCCGCGGUAAUACGUAGGUGGCAAGCGUUGUCCGGAAUUACUGGGUGUAAAGGGAGCGUAGGCGGGAAUGCAAGUUGAAUGUUUAAACUAUCGGCUCAACUGAUAAUCGCGUUCAAAACUGCAUUUCUUGAGUGGAGUAGAGGCAGGCGGAAUUCCUAGUGUAGCGGUGAAAUGCGUAGAUAUUAGGAGGAACACCAGUGGCGAAGGCGGCCUGCUGGGCUCUAACUGACGCUGAGGCUCGAAAGCGUGGGUAGCAAACAGGAUUAGAUACCCUGGUAGUCCACGCCGUAAACGAUGAUUACUAGGUGUGGGGGGACUGACCCCUUCCGUGCCGGAGUUAACACAAUAAGUAAUCCACCUGGGGAGUACGGUCGCAAGACUGAAACUCAAAGGAAUUGACGGGGGCCCGCACAAGCAGUGGAGUAUGUGGUUUAAUUCGAAGCAACGCGAAGAACCUUACCAGGUCUUGACAUCGUGCGCAUACCGUAGAGAUACGGGAAGUCCUUCGGGACGCAUAGACAGGUGGUGCAUGGUUGUCGUCAGCUCGUGUCGUGAGAUGUUGGGUUAAGUCCCGCAACGAGCGCAACCCUUAUUAUUAGUUGCUACGCAAGAGCACUCUAAUGAGACUGCCGUUGACAAAACGGAGGAAGGUGGGGAUGACGUCAAAUCAUCAUGCCCCUUAUGACCUGGGCUACACACGUACUACAAUGGCACUUAACAGAGGGAAGCAAGACCGCGAGGUGGAGCAAACCCCCAAAAAGUGUCUCAGUUCGGAUUGCAGGCUGCAACCCGCCUGUAUGAAGUCGGAAUUGCUAGUAAUCGCGGAUCAGCAUGCCGCGGUGAAUACGUUCCCGGGCCUUGUACACACCGCCCGUCACACCAUGAGAGCCGGUAACACCCGAAGUCAGUAGCCUAACCGCAAGGAGGGCGCUGCCGAAGGUGGGAUUGGUGAUUAGGGUGAAGUCGUAACAAGGUAGCCGUAUCGGAAGGUGCGGCUGGAUCACCUCCUUUCUA